rnacentral:sRNA from 1 species
UUGAGAUGAACAAAGGCUAAGUUCGCCACGUCCUGUGGCAACGCCUUUCUGACCAACAUCUUGUUGG